UACGAUUUGCAAUGAGCGCGCGCGCGCGCGCGUCGUCGUCGUCGACACACGCGACUAACCCAUGUGACAGUUGGUGGAGCGAUUCGUCUGGUUGAUUCCGUUAACGAGCGAGACCAAUAUUGCUCACUAGGAGGAGUUUGCGGCUAAUGGUGAAAGGCGUGGGCGUUGCCGUUUCGGCGGCUGCACCUCCGUUGGGAUCCGUGUCAGCAAGCUCAU
rnacentral:rRNA from 1 species